UGGUCAAGUUAUUAAGGGUGCAGGGCGGAUGCCUUGGCACUAGGAGCCGAUGAAGGACGUGAUAAGCUGCGAUAAGCUUCGGGGAGUUGCACGUAAACUUUGAUCCGAAGAUUUCCGAAUGAGGAAACUCACUUAGAGUAAUGUCUAAGUAUCAUUAAGUGAAUACAUAGCUUAAUGAGGGGAACUCAGGGAACUGAAACAUCUAAGUACCUGAAGGAAGAGAAAGAAAUUCGAUUCCGUAAGUAGCGGCGAGCGAACGCGGAUUAGCCCAAACCAAUAAAGUUUUCUUUACUGGGGUUGCGGACAUAUCAUAACGAAGAGGUAUCGUAAUUGAAGAGGUUUGGAAAGACCCACCACAGAAGGUAAUAGUCCUGUAUGUUAAACGAGAAGACUUCAGAUAUGAUCCAGAGUACCACGGGACACGUGAAACCCUGUGGGAAGCAGGAGGGACCACCCUCCAAGGCUAAAUACUACCUAGUGACCGAUAGCGUAUAGUACCGUGAGGGAAAGGUGAAAAGAACCCCGGGAGGGGAGUGAAAUAGAACCUGAAACCCUGCACUUACAAGCUGUGGAAGCACAUUUCUUGUGUGACCGCGUACUUUUUGUAGAACGGGCCAACGAGUUACGUUAAGUAGCAAGGUUAAGCACUUAAGGUGCGGAGCCGUAGCGAAAGCGAGUUUUAACUGAGCGUUCAGUUACUUGACGUAGACCCGAAACCGGGCGACCUACCCAUGAGCAGGAUGAAGCGAAAGUAAAAUUUCGUGGAGGUCCGAACCCACGAGCGUUGAAAAGCUCGGGGAUGACUUGUGGGUAGCGGUGAAAUUCCAAUCGAGCCCGGAGAUAGCUGGUUCUCCCCGAAAUAGCUUUAGGGCUAGCCUCAAGGUGAGAGAUACGGAGGUAGAGCACUGAAUGUCCUAGGGGGUAUUGCACCUACCGAAGACUAUCAAACUCCGAAUGCCGUCAUCUUAUACUUGGGAGUCAGACUGUGGGUGAUAAGAUUCAUAGUCGAAAGGGCAACAGCCCAGAUCGUCAGCUAAGGUCCCUAAAUGUAAGUUAAGUGGUAAAGGAUGUGGGAUUGCACAGACAACCAGGAUGUUGGCUUAGAAGCAGCCACUCAUUCAAAGAGUGCGUAAUAGCUCACUGGUCGAGUGAUCCUGCGCCGAAGAUUUCCGGGGCUAAAACUUACUACCGAAGCUACGGCAUCAGUAAUGAUGGGUAGGGGAGCUUCCCAUACGGGUUGAAGCAUGACCGUAAGGACAUGUGGACAGUAUGGGAGUGAGAAUGUUGGCAUGAGUAGCGAGAUGUGGGUGAGAAUCCCACAGGCCGUAAACCCAAGGUUUCCAGGGGAAGGUUCGUCCGCCCUGGGUUAGUCGGGACCUAAGCUGAGGCCGAAAGGCGUAGGUGAUGGACAACAGGUUGAUAUUCCUGUACUACCGAUAACCGUUUGAGAGAAGGGAUGACACAGUAGGAUAAGCUAAGCACACUGUUGGUUAUGUGUGCCCAAGCAUUGAGGCAGUCAAAGCAGGCAAAUCCGCUUUGAUAAUGCUGGGAUGUGAUGGGGAGCGAAAUUUAGUAGCGAAGUAGCUGAUUUCACACUGUCAAGAAAAGUCUCUAUCGAGGUUAAAGGUACCCGUACCGCAAACCGACACAGGUGGGUGAGGAGAGUAUCCUAAGGCCAGCGAGAGAACUGUUGUUAAGGAACUCGGCAAAAUGACCCCGUAACUUAGGGAUAAGGGGUGCCACCAUCCGGUGGCCGCAGAGAAUAGGCCCAAGCGACUGUUUACCAAAAACAUAGGUUUCUGCUAAGUCGCAAGACGAUGUAUAGGAGCUGACGCCUGCCCGGUGCUGGAAGGUUAAGGGGAUCUGUUAGAGCAAUCGAAGCAGUGAACUUAAGCCCCAGUAAACGGCGGCCGUAACUAUAACGGUCCUAAGGUAGCGAAAUUCCUUGUCGGGUAAGUUCCGACCCGCACGAAAGGCGUAACGAUUUGGGCACUGUCUCAACAACAGACUCGGUGAAAUUGUAAUUCCGGUGAAGAUGCCGGAUACCUGCGACAGGACGGAAAGACCCCAUGGAGCUUUACUGUAGCUUGACAUUGGGUCUUGGUACUACAUGUACAGGAUAGGUGGGAGGCUUUGAAACCAGGACGCCAGUUUUGGCGGAGCCAUCCUUGGGAUACCACCCUUGUAGUACUGGGACUCUAACCAUAGGCCAUGAAUCUGGUCUUGGGACACUGUCAGGUGGGCAGUUUGACUGGGGCGGUCGCCUCCCAAAAGGUAACGGAGGCGCUCAAAGGUUCUCUCAGUACGGUCGGAAAUCGUACGUAGAGUGUAAAGGCAAAAGAGAGCUUGAUUGCAAGACAUACAGGUCGAGCAAGGAUGAAAAUCGGACUUAGUGAUCCGGUGGUUCUGCGUGGAAGGGCCAUCGCUCAACGGAUAAAAGCUACCCUGGGGAUAACAGGCUUAUCUCCCCCAAGAGUCCACAUCGACGGGGAGGUUUGGCACCUCGAUGUCGGCUCAUCACAUCCUGGGGCUGUAGUAGGUCCCAAGGGUUGGGCUGUUCGCCCAUUAAAGUGGUACGCGAGCUGGGUUCAGAACGUCGUGAGACAGUUCGGUCCCUAUCCGUCGCAGGCGUAGGAAAUUUGAGAAGACCUGUCCUUAGUACGAGAGGACCGGGAUGGACGUACCUCUGGUGUACCAGUUGUUCUGCCAAGGGCAUGGCUGGGUAGCUAUGUACGGAAUGGAUAAGCGCUGAAAGCAUCUAAGCGCGAAGCCAACUUCAAGAUAAGAUUUCCCACCGCAAGGGUAAGACCCCAGAAAGACUAUCUGGUUGAUAGGUCGAAGGUGUAAGUGCAGCAAUGUAUUUAGCUUAUCGAUACUAAUAGGUCGAGGACUUGACCAAU
rnacentral:rRNA from 1 species